rnacentral:rRNA from 1 species
AUUGAACGCUGGCGGCAGGCUUAACACAUGCACGUCGAACGAGUGGCGGACGUGAGAGUAAUGAUUGGGAAUCUAGCUUCUGGAGGGGGAUCACUACGGGACACUGUAGCUAAUACCGCGUACAUAAGGAUGCGCCCAAGUGGGAUUAGGUAGUUGGUGAGGUAAAGGCGAACCAAGCCGACGACCUCCAGCUGGUCUGAGAGGAUGACCAGCCAUACUGGGAAUGAGACACGGCCCAGACGCCUACGGGCGGCAGCAGUGGGGAAUAUUGCGCAAUGGGGGCAAACUGACGCAGCCAUGCCGCGUGAAUGAAGAGGGCAUUCGGGUUGGAAAGUUCGUUCGGUAGCGAGGCGUUAACUACAGAAGAAGCACCGGCUAACGACGUGCCAGCAGCCGCGGUAAUAC